CUGGAAAUACGUUAUAUACGUGUGAUUCAAAAAUAAUAAAAUAUACCCCACACUGAGAAUCAAUCGAGUUCUGUAUACAUAUCAAGAGAAGAGGAGGAGGAGACUGCGUAAAUUAUCAACUGAUGUCAACUUUCAAUUGCGGUGGAAAAACUCGAGAUCUUGAGCGAUCUAGAUUAGUAGAAUUUAUGGUUUUUUACAAUUAGACAUUAUAUUAUUCAUGGUGAGAAAAAAAUGAGUUCAUUUCACACGAAA